GUGAGCCGCAGCCGGGUGACUUGGGUGCCGCGACUGCGCAUGCUCUCGCCCCGGCGCCAUGUGACUACCUCUUUCCCGUAGGUGGGGCGGGGCACUGAAAGGGGCGGUCCAGGACCCUGACUUGUCUCGCGGUUACUGGGCCGGCACGAGCGCGCGAGGCUCGGGGGCGGCACGGGGCGGGGUUUAGCCUGGGGCGGGCGCUGCGGGUGUUUGCAGGGCGUUGCUGUGCUAGCUAGGUUGAGGUCGUCCCGGGUGAGGCGGUCGCACCGGAAGUGGAUCUGGCCGUGGCGCUUCGGCGUAGUAAGGAGCCUGCGAUAGAAUUUUGUUGUUUAGGGGGCGCGGCACCGCACCGCUUCUUUCAGCUUCCUUGCAGCUGCCAUGGCGAAAGGCAGAGUCGCCGAACGCUCGCGGACGGGCGCUCACCACACGACCCCCGUGGGGGACGGGGCAGCGGAGACGCGGGGUCCCGCGGCGCCUGGCCGCGGAGAUCACCAGAAGGAAAAAUCCUGGGCAGAAGCUGGAUCAGCAAGAAUGUCACUCCUUAUAUUGGUGUCCAUUUUCUUAUCUGCAGCUUUUGUUAUGUUUUUGGUAUAUAAAAAUUUUCCUCAGCUUAGUGAAGAAGAAAGAGUGAAUAUGAAGGUUCCCAGAGAUAUGGAUGAUGCCAAGGCUCUAGGAAAAGUUUUAUCCAAAUAUAAGGACACCUUUUAUGUUCAAGUACUUGUAGCUUAUUUUGCUACAUAUAUUUUUUACCAGCUUGCAAACAUUUGCUAUUCCAGGCUCUAUAUUUCUCAGUAUACUUUCAGGGUUUCUUUAUCCCUUUCCACUGGCCUUAUUUCUUGUUUGUUUGUGUUCUGGACUUGGUGCCUCUUUUUGUUAUAUGCUUUCCUAUUUAGUUGGGAGACCAGUUGUAUACAAAUACCUAACAGAAAAAGCAGUAAAAUGGUCACAGCAGGUUGACCGUCAUAGAGAACAUCUCAUUAACUACAUUAUAUUUUUGAGAAUAACACCAUUUCUGCCUAAUUGGUUUAUUAAUAUCACAUCUCCUGUGAUAAACGUGCCAUUGAAAGUUUUUUUUAUUGGUACUUUUCUAGGUGUUGCACCUCCUUCUUUUGUAGCCAUUAAGGCAGGAACAACACUGUAUCAACUUACAACAGCAGGAGAAGCUGUUUCCUGGAACUCAAUAUUUAUUCUGAUGAUCUUGGCUGUGCUUUCUAUUCUGCCAGCCAUCUUCCAAAAAAAACUAAAGCAGAAAUUUGAGUAAAAAUAAUCAUCUGAUUUUUAGUUUUGCUGUCAUCACCAUCUCAGGAUUAACAGGUGCAUCCAUUUAUGUUUUAAAAUCACCUCUUCAGUAAUUAAACAAGGAAUUUGUAAAAUAAAAUUUCCUGUCAGAUAAAGUAAUACAUUUAAGCGACAAGGGGAGAAGAAAGUAAAAAUGGAAAUUGGUAUACUGUGAAAAGUGCUAUCAAUAAGGUAGACAUCUUAGACAUAAAGUAUUAUGGUAUUAAGGUAGACAUCUUAGACAUAAAGUAUUAUACCAAGGGUAGCUAUAGAUAAUAGUAGUGUGGUAGGAAAUUGUUGAUCCAGCUAAUUCAUUUGAUUUAAUUGAAUAUUUUUUCUCUUUAAUAACUAAAAUAGAUAUUCUUAAAUUCUAGAUUUUUUAAAGUAGUGUUGCAAGUUUUGUUAAUGUUAGGCUUUUUUCAGAGCAUAAACUGGAAAACUUAAAAAGAGAUUUACAUUUUCUUCCUCUUUUGAGGUAAUGGAUUUGUUUGGAAAUUGCAUGUUAGUAGACGACUGAAUAUAGAAAGGAUAUCAAGUUGUCUAUUUUGUUAAUUUCAUUUUUGUUUUUUAUCUUCUAGAUUUUUAUCAUGGAUUAGUCUGAAAUUUAAAGUUCUGGCCAGUCUGUUUUCUUUUAUCUUGUAGUUUUUACAGUAUUUUCACUGUGCAUGUACAAAAUUGGUAUUAUAUAACUGUAUCAUAUUUGAUAUUGUUAAUUUUUUUCUUUUUUUUUUUUUUGAGAUGGAGUCUUGCUGUUGCCCAGGCUGGACUGCAGUGGCAUGAUCUCGGCUCACUGCAAAUUCCGCCUCCUGGGUUCAAGCGAUUCUCCUGGCCCAGCUUCCUGAGUAACUGCGAUUACAAGUGUGUGCCACCAUGCCCAGCUAAUUUUUGUGUUUUUAGUAGAGAUGGGGUUUCACCAUGUUGGCCGGGCUGAUCUUGAACUCCUGACCUCAGGCUGUCUGCCCACUUCCAUCUCCCAAAGUGCUGGGAUUACAGGCUUGAGCCACUGCGCCCGGCCGUGGUAUUGAUAAUUUAUAUUCAGAUAAUUUGUUAUGUCUCUUUAAUAUCUCAAAAGGGGCUCUAAAAAGCAAACACUUAAGAGUUUGUAGUUUUUAGACAUUAAGUUAAUUAUUUUAAACAAUGACAGCAAAACACAAGUGAUUAAAUAUAGUUUAUUUGUUCCAAUGACUAAAUUUUACCUCAUUUAUUAAUCUGGUUAUUAAAGAAUACAUUUAAUAAUGUGUAAUUAUUCUUUUUAUGCAUAAUACACCUAGAAAAAUGCCUUUUGUUUCUAUUGAUGGCUUUUUUGUUUGGAGCUGCUUUUGAUUACUUAUUGCAGUUUCCCAAUUUAGUCUUUUUCUAACUCACAAAGUAAAAUUAACUGAUCACAUGGCAACUACUAUAUUUAAAUAGUUCUAGAAAAAUGAAAGUGCUUUUUGCUGCUUGGUAAAUGGGUAAUGCCCUUGAUUCCUUGAUUGUAGGACAUAGCUGAUCUAAAGUGUUCUGUCAGUUUUACCUUCACCCAUGACUCAUUAUGUUGAAAAGUCCUUUAGCUAUGAGAAAUCCUUGUAUGUUUUUAUUAUGAGAGGUAUAAUCAUCCUCAAAAGCCUGUUUUUACUACAUGAUGUGGACUGAUUAUUUUUUCUAUCACAGUAUUAACAGAUAGAUUUUAUUGUAAAUACAAAGAAAAUAUAUUGAUUAUUAUAGUAUUCUUAUGUCAGCUGGCCUUUUGUGUGAGAUUAUUAUUUCUAGCAAGGCUUUCUUCCUUUCUUAUUGCCCAGAGACUGAUAAAUCCUUUGUUAUUUUUACACAUAAAUUAAAACAUAGCCUUUUUGGACAAAUUCACUAAAUAUUACUGUAUAAAAUGUAAUUGAGUAAAUUUUUAUCAGAAUUUUAAAAAUGAGCUUAGACUCAGAAGCUUCACUAUUUACUCCAGCGUGUGUAAAUUGUACUUACUCUAUUCUCAGAGUAUAUUUACUGUCCUUAUCAUUGAUUCUUUCCCUUUGCUAAUUUUUUUUUUUGUUAAUGGUAGCUACAACUUUAGGUGGGGUAUAUUUUCUUCUCCUAAGAGAAUAGACAGUUUUUCCAGAUUCAUCAUCAUUGACUGUCAAGAAAGGACCCUUCAGCAGGCUGUACCCUCAGUGCAGUUGAUGGCCUGUCUUCAUGGAUUCAUAGACUCGGCCUGAUGCCACAUGUAAAUUCAAGCUUUGGCUUGACAAUUAUACGGUAACAACCACAAGAAGACAAGCAUCUGUGGUGCGGAGACAAGCAGGCUAACUAGAAGUUGACAUGCUAAGAAAGUGAAACUGUUCUUUCUUAAUUAAUGGUCUUUCUCUGGAACUCUGUUACUUUGAGUAUAAUAUUUCCAUGACACUUAGUAAAUGCAAGCUAAAAUGUAAUAAUAAUAAUAAUAAUAAAUUGUACUGGAGAAACCUAAA